AGGUUGGACAUCCAACAAGAUAGACUCUAAUUCAGCCUCCCCAGUCUCUGGCCACCCAGCUCACUCAGGGAUUCAGCUACCCUUGGCUACCCAAGUAGUCUAAACAUUUUAUCUUUAUCAGGCACAUAUACAGUCUGGUUCUCUGUAGCCAAAUUUAGAUACCCAUGACAUUUAUCUAAUGAUUUCAAACCAAACAGGUUCCUAAAAAAACAUUCAGCCUACUUCUAGAACUUCCCCAUUUUGCUUGGCUGUGAAAAUGUAUUUGUCCCAUGCAGGCCCUUGCUCCAGCCCAGUGGAAGCAUUAGUACCUCUUCCUAGCGGGAACUCAGUCCAGCUACACACCAGAGCCAGGCCAGUGGUUGUCUGGGAAAUCUUCAAAGGCCGUGACCACUCAGCAAGGGUCAGUGGCACCUCUCCCCACUGUCUCCUCACCAGGUGCAUUCAUCCCAUCCAUCCAUGCAUUCACUCACCCUCCGUGUUGUCCAGCACUAUGUAUAGUGCUGCAGAAACAAGAAGAAUAUAGUGCUUGCCUUCAAAGACCUCCCAAAGUGGGGAGAUAGUCUGGAUGACAGGUGCUGUAAUAGAAGUGUGCCCCGGAUGCUAUAGGAGCACAGAAAGAGGGCAACUGAUGAACACUGGGGUGAGAGUGGAAGAGGAGACCCUGGAAGACUCCCUAAGGAAGUUGUCUUACUCUGGUCAAGCAGGAGGCCCUGUAGAGGGAGUGGUGCAGACCCACCAGCAUAUGCAGCUUCACAGGGGCAAAACACCUGUAGGUCCAUCACGUGUUGGGGACUAGCAAGUAUUCAGCUUGGCUGGAGCAGAGGCAGGAGUGGGGAACUGGGGACAGGUGAGACUAGAGGUUGGCAGAAACCAGCCAUAGUAGUUUUUGCCUCAUUUGGACAACAAGGAGCCAUCCAAGAGAGAGCGGUGAAGCUGAUGGUGACACAGCCAUGGCGCAUUGAAAUACCCCCAGUGGCUGUGUUGUAGGGUAUAUUGGGUUGGGGAGGGACAAGGUCAGGAGGCAUAGACUCGACAUCAUCUGAUGUGAUUCAGGACAGAAUGGCGAGCCUGAAGUGAAGUGUCUGUAGGAUAAGUUGGAAAGGAAGGAACCAAUAUGAGAUAUUAAAGAAGUGAAAGCUAUAGGUCCCAGUGCCUUAAUAAAGGUAAGGAGUAAGAGAAGAUUCGAGAUUGACUCCCAGACUCUCCAGUCUGCUGGACAUGGGAGAUGGAAUAGAAGUUGAUCUCGGUGUGGUCAGAGGAGAGCAGUUACUGUGUUGAGCAUGGAGAGCCUGUCGUUCCCCAGGAGAAGGAGUACAGCUGGCUGGAAAUAGGCAAGGCAGAGAUGGAGAGAUCCACCUUGGAGUCACUCCUAGGGGCGACCCUUGAAGCCCUGAGUAGCAAUCCCACCAGAAAGAUGCAAGGGCUGAAGCUGAAACUUCAGAGAGCAUCGGCAUUUAAGGAAGAACCUUGGCUGGGCGUGGUGGCUCACGCCUGUAAUCCCAGCACUUUGGGAGGCUGAGGCGGGCGGAUUGCUUGAGCCCAGGAGUUUGAGACCAGCUGGCCAACGUGGUGAAACCCCGUCUCUACUAAAAAUACAUAAAUUAGCUGGGCGGUAGUGGCAUGUGCCUGUAAUCCCAGCUACUCGGGAGGCUGAGAGAGGAGAAUCACUUGAUUCUCCUGGGAGGCAGAGGUUGUGGUGAGCUGAGAUCGUGCCACUGCACUCCUGUCUUGAAAAA
ensembl:lncRNA novel transcript